rnacentral:rRNA from 1 species
UACGUAGGGUGCAAGCGUUGUCCGGAAUUAUUGGGCGUAAAGAGCUCGUAGGCGGUUUGUCGCGUCGAAUGUGAAAACCCGGGGCUCAACCCCGGGCCUGCAUUCGAUACGGGCAGACUAGAGUUCGGUAGGGGAGUCUGGAAUUCCUGGUGUAGCGGUGAAAUGCGUAGAUAUCAGGAAGAACACCAAUGGCGAAAGCAGCUCUCUGGGACGGUACUGACGCUGAGACGCGAAAGCGUGGGGAGCGAACAGG